CCAUUGCAUAAGCACACAGUAUCGUGUGCGAACGCCGUCUGCGAAUCCGGCAGCGACGCAAUGUCGGACGGCUUCUUUUUCAAUCCGCUGUCUCAACGACAGCAUCUCA
rfam:Cardiobacterium valvarum F0432 genomic scaffold Scfld1388, whole genome shotgun sequence.